rnacentral:rRNA from 1 species
AUUGAACGCUGGCGGCAGGCCUAACACAUGCAAGUCGAGCGGAUGAAGGGAGCUUGCUCCUGGAUUCAGCGGCGGACGGGUGAGUAAUGCCUAGGAAUCUGCCUGGUAGUGGGGGAUAACGUCCGGAAACGGGCGCUAAUACCGCAUACGUCCUGAGGGAGAAAGUGGGGGAUCUUCGGACCGCACGCUAUCAGAUGAGCCUAGGUCGGAUUAGCUAGUUGGUGGGGUAAAGGCCUACCAAGGCGACGAUCCGUAACUGGUCUGAGAGGAUGAUCAGUCACACUGGAACUGAGACACGGUCAAGACUCCUACGGGAGGCAGCAGUGGGGAAUAUUGGACAAUGGGCGAAAGCCUGAUACAGCCAUGCCGAGUGUGUGAAGAAGGUCUUCGGAUUGUAAAGCACUUUAAGUUGGGAGGAAGGGCAGUAAGUUAAUACCUUGCUGUUUUGACGUUAACAACAGAAUAAGCACCGGCUAACUUCGUG